UAGCGAGGGGGGCGAGCGUUGUUCGGAAUUAUUGGGCGUAAAGGGUGCGUAGGCGGCCUGACAAGUCUGAUGUGAAAUCCCUGGGCUCAACCCAGGCCUGCAUCGGAAACUGUCGGGCUUGAGUAUGGGAGAGGUGAGUGGAAUUUCCGGUGUAGCGGUGAAAUGCGUAGAUAUCGGAAGGACACCUGUGGCGAAAGCGGCUCACUGGACCACUUAC
rnacentral:rRNA from 1 species